AAAUAAGAAACAAAUUAUUGUAUUUAGUUUCGACCUAAAAUUUAGCUUAAAGCUCUUAUUUU
rnacentral:tRNA from 1 species